GGCCAAUCAGGGGUUUUCAGGCCUGUGUGUGAAUGGAGUUCUUGCUCUAAGUCCUCCGAGGUUUUGAGACAUCAUCUGCGAGACAUCACUCUGGAGUAACCAACUUGGACCACUGGAAACUCUGGUCAGUCUUGACUGUACUCAGCUGGAUUUGGCAUCACCUAGGAGAAACGCCUCUGGGCAUGUCUGUGAAGAUACAUCCAGGGAGGUUUACUUGAGGAGGGAAGACAUCCUGAAUGCUGGUGUCACCAUCCCAUCACCUGGCGUUCUGAACUGUAUAAAAAGGAGAAAGUGAGCUGAGCACUAGCAACCUGCUUCCCGGCUACAGAUGCAGUGUGACCCGCUGCCUCAGGCUCUCGCCCUGAUGGACGGUGCCUGUGGGGCACGAGCCAGAGUAAACCCUCCCUUCCUGAACUUGGUUUUGUUACCUCAACAAUGAAAGUAAAAACACAACAGGAAAGGUGAAGAAGUGUCUUACUUCACGGCUCCACUUUCAGAACCAGCUAUUGACUAAUUAGCUUCGCUGAACCGAAGAAAAAGAAUCUGCUUUGAUUUCUUUGCCUGGGGGCAAUUUAAUAAAGUGGGGGGUGAGUGGAGGCAGUGAGGAGGGUGGUCCGUAAAUAACUGCUCUCACCAUCUCCCACAUCUGGACAGAAUGUCCUGGGAGGAAGUUGUAUACACAGUUAAUGAUGUGUUUUGUUAGUAUUCAAGUUCGCUGUGACUAUUUGGUGGCAAUUUCUUUAAAAGCAUGCUUUUAGAGCAGAAAGAAUCUUCUGGGUGGGAGGGGAAAUGAGUUAACGUAAAAUCUACUCUGAGUGUGCACAGUCACCACACUCUCCGAGGUGGCUGCUGCAGGCACAGGAUAGCGACCUCCGCGCAGAGAGAGUUUGAUAAAAACGUCAGCAGGACGGCGGGGGCUGGCCCAUGGCAUGUUCUCUGGGGUUUCCCAAGCCCGGCGGCAGCUUGCACACUGCUUGCUUGUUGCCUUGUGGCCAGCUUAGGGUAACAUCUCUUACGGGUAACCCCACCCACACCAUAUGUCUUUAGCCCUUUAAUCCAAGGUUUUCCUCAGCAAUAAACACCCCCUUCAGGAAGCAUCCAGGGCAUGCUUUGCAGUUGAGGUUCAAUGGAGGACCCAUACACAAGCUGAGCUGAGACCCAAGUUUACUGUUCUGUCUACUAAUGAUGCUGUUGCCCUCUAGGCUGACUGGGAAGGGCUCUGGAACUGGAAUUCUGCUGCAAGGCACAGGGCCCUGAUUAAUGCUCCUGCCCUUCACUGCUUGAAAUCCCUGGAGCCUGGGGUAUAGAUAUGCCAAAUGUAUGAAUGUGCUGCAUUUUACACCAAAAGAGUCUUGUCACUUUAAAUUAAGGACCAGGGAUGGCAAGUCUCCUGAUGAUAUAGUCUGUUUCUAGAAUGUUCGCCAUGCACUUGUGUGUUGAAGGCUUGGUUUCCAGCGUGUGGUGCUAUUGGGAGGUGGUGAAUCUUUUCGGGAUGGGGCUUGGUGUGAGGUUUUAAUUCACUGAGUUGAUAUGACCUUGAAGGAGACUGUGGGACUCCAGGAACUUCCCUUUUAUGUUGCUGUACAACCUUCAAGAGGUAAACCAUUUUCUCCAAUGUGUGCUCUGCAACCCUUAAGCAGUGAGCCAACUGAACACAAACCUUCCAAGCUGUGAGCUAAAACAAAUGCUUCAUCUUUAAGUUCACUGUCUCGGGGUUUUGCUAUACUAACAGCUGACGAACGUAUCUAUAUGGUCUUGGAAUGCCCAGAAUGGAUGGCAGAAUUUCCUACCCCAAAUCAUGCUACUUUAGCAUCAGGAUUAUUGUAACUGAGAAAAAACUGAUACAAUGAAGCUUUUUGUCUGCCCUCCACUGACUUGUCUACUGGCAGGGCAUGGAUUUGUGAAUGUGUUUCCACCUCUUCUGUGAGGAGGGCUAGAAAUUCAUCAGGAGAUGAUGAUAGACACAUAUCAGCCUGUGACAUCAGAGGAGUCUGACCACAGCUCUUACCACCCUGCUCUACCAUGACAUUUUCCAUGUAUCUAUCUCCUGUGGCUUGCCACUUCUGGGGACUCACAGGUCCCUCCUUUGUCUGGCUGCUGCUUUAUAGGAUGGACUGUCGUUCAGUGACGAUGUUGUUGUCUUAUGUAUUAGUAACUUUUAUGUUGCUGUGAUAAAACGUUAUGACCAAAGGUAA